CGAGAACAUCGCCAAUGGUCACGGCGGUCCGCAGGAUCCUGAUCUGCUCACCACCCCCGACGAACAGCGGGCGCUGUUCGAAGCAGUGGGCCUCGA
rnacentral:tRNA from 1 species